AUUAGUUGAAGGCGGAAGGUGAAUUUUCCUUUCAUUAUAUUUUUUAUCUCUUUGAUCCUUCAAUCCUCCUGGUACUUUGUAUGCAUGUUAGUCGAUGGGGGCUAGCAAAUUGAUCUCCUCCUAUUCAGUCAUAGGAUAAUAUUUUUGAGUCUCCCACCAGAAGUGUUGCUCUUAUCUUCUCAAUUAGUUUUAGGUGGCAUAUAGCCAGCUGCACAUGGUGCAGGUACCAACAGCAGGAUCAAUCCACCCUGACCUUUUGUGGUCUUGCCCAACAUUGUAAACAAAUUCUUCCUUGUUUUAUGCUCUAAGGUUGCAUGUUGGGUCACUCGCAGUCACAGGUGGCACAUGAACAAAAGAAUGUCAGGUUACUAGAUGAAAUAUGGGCUUCUGAAAUUCUCCUUAAUAAAUUAUGUCUCCUCUUUAUUUCACCAAGUUUAUUAAACUUCUUGGCCAGACCAAUAACAGAAUUAUGUUACUGUUUGUUUCAGGAGGGAGAUUUUCACCCCAAUG
rnacentral:misc_RNA from 1 species